UUCCGGUUGAUCCUGCCGGACCCGACUGCUCUUUGGGUGGGACUAAGCCAUGCGAGUUGAAUGAGACACUAAUCGUCUCAUAGCAAACUGCUCAGUAACACAUGAUCAACUACCCUAUGAAGGGAACUAACCUCGGGAAACUGAGGAUAAUGUCUCAUAGCUGAUUCGGCUUGGAAAAGUGUUUCAGUGAAAGGGGCAUAGAAAAUGGUCUAUGUCUGUCAUAGGAUGGGAUUGUGGUCGAUUAGGUAGUUGGUGAGAUAAAGGCUCACCAAGCCGAUAAUCGAUAGGGGCCGUGAGAGCGGGAGCCUCGAGAUGGGUACUGAGACAGCGACCCAGGCCCUACGGGGCGCAGCAGGCGCGAAACCUCCGCAAUACACGCAAGUGUGACGGGGCUACCCAAAGUGCUCCAUAUAGGAGCUGUGGUAGAUGAGUAAUGUUCUUUACUAGAAAGGAGAGGGCAAGGCUGGUGCCAGCCGCCGCGGUAAAACCAGCUCUUCAAGUGGUCGGGAUAAUUAUUGGGCUUAAAGUGUCCGUAGCUGGUAAGGUAAGUUCCUGGUAAAAUGGGGCAGCUUAACUGUCUUUAUGCUAGGAAUACUGCUUUACUAGAGGGCGGGAGAGGUUUGAGGUACUACAGGGGUAGGGGUGAAAUCUUAUAAUCCUUGUAGGACCACCAGUGGCGAAGGCGUCAGACUGGAACGCGCCUGACAGUGAGGGACGAAAGCCAGGGGAGCGAACCGGAUUAGAUACCCGGGUAGUCCUGGCCGUAAACGAUGCACACUAGAUGAUGGUGCGGCCAUGAGCCGUAUCAGUGUCGUAGGGAAACCGUUAAGUGUGCCGCCUGGGAAGUACGGUCGCAAGGCUUAAACUUAAAGGAAUUGGCGGGGGAGCACCACAAGGGGUGAAGCCUGCGGUUCAAUUGGAUUCAACGCCGGA
rnacentral:rRNA from 1 species